rnacentral:rRNA from 1 species
UAAAUUGCCGCGGUAUUUUGACCGUGCAAAGGUAGCAUAAUAAUUAGUUUUUUUAUUGAAAGCUGGAAUGAAUGAUUGGACGAGAAAUUUUCUGUCUCAAAGGUAUUUAUUUUUUAAUUUAACUUCUAAGUUAAAAGGCUUAGAUUUAUCUAUCAAAGACGAGAAGACCCUAUAGAGUUUUAUAGCUUUUUUUGUAGGGGGUUUUUGGUGAUUUUAAUUUUUCUAUAUUUUUAGUUAUUUGGUUGGGGUGACUUGAAGAUUUGAAUAACUCUUCUAAUAUUUUAUCAUUGAUUUAUGAAUGUUUAAUCUAAUAUUUUUAAAAUUAAAAUAAAUUACCUUAGGGAUAACAGCGUAAUUUCUUUUAAGAGUUCUUAUUGGAAGAGAAGUUUGCGACCUCGAUGUUGGAUUAAAAUUUAUUUUUGGUGUAGCAGCUGAGAUAUUAGGUCUGUUCGACCUUUGAAAUUUU